AGUGAACGCUGGCGGUAGGCCUAACACAUGCAAGUCGAACGGCAGCACAGAGGAGCUUGCUCCUUGGGUGGCGAGUGGCGGACGGGUGAGGAAUACAUCGGAAUCUACUCUGUCGUGGGGGAUAACGUAGGGAAACUUAUGCUAAUACCGCAUACGACCUACGGGGGAAAGCAGGGGACCUUCGGGCCUUGCGCGAUUGAAUGAGCCGAUGUCGGAUGAGCUAGUUGGCGGGGUAAAGGCCCACCAAGGCGACGAUCCGUAGCUGGUCUGAGAGGAUGAUCAGCCACACUGGAACUGAGACACGGUUCAGACUCCUACGGGAGGCAGCAGUGGGGAAUAUUGGACAAUGGGCGCAAGCCUGAUCCAGCCAUACCGCGUGGGUGAAGAAGGCCUUCGGGUCGUAAAGCCCUUUUGUUGGGAAAGAAAUCCAGCUGGCUAAUACCCGGUUGGGAUGACGGUACCCAAAGAAUAAGCACCGGCUAACUUCGUGCCAGCAGCCGCCGUAA
rnacentral:rRNA from 1 species